rnacentral:rRNA from 1 species
AUACGUAUGGUGCAAGCGUUAUCCGGAUUUACUGGGUGUAAAGGGUGCGUAGGUGGUUUCUUAAGUCAGGAGUGAAAGGCUACGGCUCAACCGUAGUAAGCUCUUGAAACUGGGAAACUUGAGUGCAGGAGAGGAAAGUGGAAUUCCUAGUGUAGCGGUGAAAUGCGUAGAUAUUAGGAGGAACACCAGUAGCGAAGGCGGCUUUCUGGACUGUAACUGACACUGAGGCACGAAAGCGUGGGGAGC